rnacentral:rRNA from 1 species
UAGUGGCGGACGGGUGAGUAACGCGUGAGAAUCUGCCUUCAGGAGGGGGAUAACGACUGGAAACGGUCGCUAAUACCCCAUAUGCCUACGGGUGAAAUGUUUUUCGCCUGAAGAUGAGCUCAUAUCCUAUCAGCUAGUUGGUAAGGUAAUGGCUUACCAAGGCUUACGGGUAGCGGGUCUGAGAGGAUGAUCCGCCACACUGGGACUGAGACACUGCCCAGACUCCUACGGGAGGCUGCAGUCGAGAAUCAUUGUCAAUGCACGAAAGUGUGAACAUGCGACGCCGCGUGGAGGAAGACGGCCUUUGGGUUGUAAACUCCUGUCAGCAGGGAGGAAAGGUAGUAUUGCUAACAGUAAUAUUAUUUGACAGUACCUGCAGAGGAAGUCACGGCUAACUCUGUGCCAGCAGCCGCGGUAAUACAGAGGUGGCGAACGUUAUUCGGAUUUACUGGGCGUAAAGGGUCCGCAGGCGGUCUUGUGUGUCAGAUGUGAAAUCCUACGGCUUAACCGUAGAAUUGCAUUUGAAACUGCAAGACUAGAGUAUUGGAGGGGAGAAGGGAACACUUGGUGUAGCGGUGAAAUGCGUAGAUAUCAAGUGGAACACCGGUGGCGAAGGCGCUUCUCUGGACAAAUACUGACGCUCAUGGACGAAAGUUGGGGUAGCGAAAGGGAUUAGAUACCCCUGUAGUCCAAGCCGUAAACGGUGUGCACUAGGCGUGGGAGGCUUUACCCCCUUCCGUGCCUGAGCUAACGCAUUAAGUGCACCGCCUGGGGAGUACGGUCGCAAGAUUAAAACUCAAAGGAAUUGACGGGGACCCGCACAAGCGGUGGAGCAUAUGGCUUAAUUCGAUGCAACGCGAAGAACCUUACCUGGGCUUGACAUAUAGCUGCAUCCGACCCGAAAGGGACGGAGCCUUCGAGGGUGCUAUACAGGUGCUGCAUGGCUGUCGUCAGCUCGUGCCGUGAGGUGUUGGGUUAAGUCCCGCAACGAGCGCAACCCCUGUGUUUAGUUGCAGCACGUAAUGGUGGGAACUCUAAACAGACUGCCUGUGAAAACAGGAGGAAGGUGGGGAUGACGUCAAGUCAGUAUGGUCCUUAUGUCCAGGGCUGCACACGUGCUACAAUGGGAUGUACAGUGGGAAGCCAAGCCGCGAGGUGGAGCAAAUCCUCAAAACAUCCCCCAGUUCGGAUUGUAGUCUGAAACUCGACUACAUGAAGUUGGAAUCGCUAGUAAAGGCGUAUCAGCUACGAUACCUUGAAUACGUUCCCGGGUCUUGUACACACCGCCCG